CGGUGUGCUUGCGGAAGCUCGGUUUCUAGUCGAUGUUUUAAAGUUUGUUCACUUGCGCAAUGGUCUGGACGGGCGAGGAAACAUUGGCUUUAAUUGAAAUGUACCAUGCUCGUCCAACAUUGUGGGACAGCAAUAAUGUGCACUACAAAAAUAAAAAAUCGGAGACACGAUAAUUUAGUUGAACUCGCAGUGUCAUUUGGUGUCGACAAACAAGAAAUUGAACGAAAAAUAAAAAAAUUAUAAAGUCAUUUCCUGAGGGAAAGAAAAAAAGAAACGGUGUGCAGAAAAACUGGAAGUGGUGCGGACGAACCAUAUGAAAGUAAAUGGUUUGCUUUCCAAGCAAUGAUGUUCCUGGCUAACAAAAACAAACCACGAAAUACAAAGGAUAAUGUCGAGGAUUCAGCGGACCUGGAUGAACACAACGAUAGUCAAGACAAAGACAUUGGGAAUGAAAUCCAUAUUGAAUCCGGAAGUUCUCGAGUGAAGCAGGCAUCGACAACAUUGCGGAACUCGGAACAUUGCUUCAAAAGUGACAAAAACCAAAGAGUUUGAAUCCCCAAAGGCACUCAAGACCAAAUCCUCAAAACGUACACUCAUGGCUACUUCCGGUACUUCCAGUGCACUCGUUUUUGAUGAAGCUGUGAAUCUCAUGAAAUCCAUUCAGUCAAAAAGAGUAGACAUAAAAGACGAACAUUAUUUGUAUGGCGAACAGAUAGCGAUUAGGCUACGCAGGAUUCCACCACGAACAAGGUUUUAUGUUCAACAAUCCUUCAACCAAAUACAUAGUGCGCCAAAAACAGCUGCGCUUAGUAAUCCGUCGCAAUUCACCUCGCCAAUGGUAUUCGUCCCCAUGCUCUAUCAACCGCCCGGACCACCUAGCAUGGCCUAUCAAACUCCACAAUCACAAUCCCCUACAUAUGUUUUAUCUGACUGUAUUUAUUGUUCUUGAUUCGAUUUUUGUAAUAAUGUAAAUAAAAAUGAACUAUAUUAAAA